GGGUUGUGAGGUUAAGUGACUAAGCGUACACGGUGGAUGCCUAGGCAGUCAGAGGCGAUGAAGGACGUGCUAAUCUGCGAUAAGCGUCGGUGAGCUGAUAUGAAGCAUUAUUAGCCGGCGAUGUCCGAAUGGGAAACCCAGUGCAAUCCGUUGCACUAUCGUUAAGUGAAUCCAUAGCUUAACGAGGCGAACCAGGGGAACUGAAACAUCUAAGUACCCUGAGGAAAAGAAAUCAACCGAGAUUCCCCCAGUAGCGGCGAGCGAACGGGGAAGAGCCCAGAACCUGAAUCAGUUUGUGUAUUAGUGGAAGCGUCUGGAAAGUCGCGCGAUACAGGGUGAUAGCCCCGUACACGAAGGUGCACAGCUGUGAGUUCGAUGAGUAGGGCGGGACACGUGUUAUCCUGUCUGAAUAUGGGGGGACCAUCCUCCAAGGCUAAAUACUCCUGACUGACCGAUAGUGAACCAGUACCGUGAGGGAAAGGCGAAAAGAACCCCGGCGAGGGGAGUGAAAUAGAACCUGAAACCGUGUACGUACAAGCAGUGGGAGCAUCCUUUUGGGUGUGACUGCGUACCUUUUGUAUAAUGGGUCAGCGACUUAUAUUUUGUAGCAAGGUUAACCGAAUAGGGGAGCCGUAGGGAAACCGAGUCUUAACUGGGCGUCUAGUUGCAAGGUAUAGACCCGAAACCCGGUGAUUCAGCCAUGGGCAGGUUGAAGGUUGGGUAACACUAACUGGAGGACCGAACCGACUAAUGUUGAAAAUUAGCGGAUGACUUGUGGCUGGGGGUGAAAGGCCAAUCAAACCGGGAGAUAGCUGGUUCUCCCCGAAAGCUAUUUAGGUAGCGCCUCGUGAACUCAUCUUCGGGGGUAGAGCACUGUUUCGGCUAGGGGUCAUCCGACUUACCAACCCGAUGCAAACUACGAAUACCGAAGAAUGUUAUCACGGGAGACACACGGCGGGUGCUAACGUCCGUCGAAGAGGAAACAACCCAGACCGCCAGCUAAGGUCCCAAAGUCAUGGUUAAGUGGGAAACGAUGUGGGAAGGCACAGACAGCCAGGAUGUUGGCUUAGAAGCAGCCAUCAUUUAAAGAAAGCGUAAUAGCUCACUGGUCGAGUCGGCCUGCGCGGAAGAUGUAACGGGGCUAAACCAUGCACCGAAGCGGCAGCGAACGUAUCACCAAGACAACUUUGCGGAGUUGACGAUUGACGGAGCGAAGCGACGUCAAAGCGUUAAUUAAAGUCGAGUUGGAUUAGGGAUACGUUCGUUGGGUAGGGGAGCGUUCUGUAAGCCGUUGAAGGUGGCCUGUGAGGGCUGCUGGAGGUAUCAGAAGUGCGAAUGCUGACAUAAGUAACGAUAAAGCGGGUGAAAAGCCCGCUCGCCGGAAGACCAAGGGUUCCUGUCCAACGUUAAUCGGGGCAGGGUAAGUCGACCCCUAAGGCGAGGCCGAAAGGCGUAGUCGAUGGGAAACAGGUUAAUAUUCCUGUACUUGGUGUUGCGAAGGGGACGGAGAAGGCUAGACCGGCCGGGCGACGGUUGUCCCGGUUUAAGCGUGUAGGUGUGAUGACCUGGCAAAUCCGGUUAUCUUUAACACUGAGGCGUGAUGACGAGGCACUACGGUGCUGAAGUGGUUAAUGCCCUGCUUCCAGGAAAAGCCUCUAAGCUCCAGAUAACACUGAAUCGUACCCCAAACCGACACAGGUGGUCAGGUAGAGAAUACCAAGGCGCUUGAGAGAACUCGGGUGAAGGAACUAGGCAAAUGGUGCCGUAACUUCGGGAGAAGGCACGCUGGCAUGUAGGUGAAGUCCCUCGCGGAUGGAGCCGAAGCCAGUCGAAGAUACCAGCUGGCUGCAACUGUUUAAUAAAAACACAGCACUCUGCAAACACGAAAGUGGACGUAUAGGGUGUGACGCCUGCCCGGUGCUGGAAGGUUAAUUGAUGGGGUCAGCCGCAAGGCGAAGCUCUUGAUCGAAGCCCCAGUAAACGGCGGCCGUAACUAUAACGGUCCUAAGGUAGCGAAAUUCCUUGUCGGUAAGUUCCGACCUGCACGAAUGGCGUAAUGAUGGCCAGGCUGUCUCCACCGAGACUCAGUGAAAUUGAACUCGCUGUGAAGAUGCAGUGUACCCGCGGCAAGACGGAAAGACCCGUGAACCUUUACUAUAGCUUGACACUGAACAUUGAACCUUGAUGUAGGAUAGGUGGGAGGCUUUGAAGUGUGGACGCCAGUCUGCAUGGAGCCGACCUUGAAAUACCACCCUUUAAUGUUUGAUGUUCUAACCUGGUCCCGUGAUCCGGGAUAGGGACAGUGUCUGGUGGGUAGUUUGACUGGGCGGUCUCCCAAAGAGUAACGGAGGAGCACGAAGGUUAGCUAAUCCUGGUCGGACAUCAGGAGGUUAGUGCAAAGGCAUAAGCUAGCUUGACUGCGAGAGUGACGGCUCGAGCAGGUGCGAAAGCAGGUCUUAGUGAUCCGGUGGUUCUGAAUGGAAGGGCCAUCGCUCAACGGAUAAAAGGUACCCGGGAUAACAGGCUGAUACCGCCCAAGAGUUCAUAUCGACGGCGGUGUUUGGCACCUCGAUGUCGGCUCAUCACAUCCUGGGGCUGAAGUAGGUCCCAAGGGUAUGGCUGUUCGCCAUUUAAAGUGGUACGCGAGCUGGGUUUAGAACGUCGUGAGACAGUUCGGUCCCUAUUCGCCGUGGGCGUUGGAAGAUUGAGAGGGCUGCUCCUAGUACGAGAGGACCGGAGUGGACGCACCGCUGGUGUUCGGGUUGUGAUGCCAGUAUUGCCCGGUAGCUACGUGCGGAAAAGAUAAGCGCUGAAAGCAUCUAAGCGCGAAACUUGCCUCGAGAUGAGUCUUCCCUUGGACCUUGAGUCCACUGAAGGAACGUUUAAGACUAAGACGUUGAUAGGCUGGGUGUGUAAGCGUAGCGAUACGUUGAGCUAACCAGUACUAAUGAUCCGAGAGGCUUAACCUUACAACACCGAAGGUGUUUUAG
rnacentral:rRNA from 1 species